GCAGCGGUCACACCCGCCUCGGUGCCGCUGAAGGGUGGGACACGCACACGGGCUGAGGAGAAGCAAAGUCCCACAGGUCUGUGGCACCCAACGCACCCAGGGAGCCUCCAUGACUGCAGGCAGUUCUUCCACCGCCGGCACUGAUGCCUUCAAGCCACACUUGCCAUCAGCACGCCCUGUAAAGCCAAGAGAUCCUUGGGCACCCAGUGAGACAUCCUUGGGCUGGUCUCACUGCCACACACCCUGGUACACCAGAAGCUGAAGUAGGAUUUCUAAAGAAAAACGAAGAUCAAAGACAAAAGCAAGCUCCCAUUGUGUCUCAGAAGAGGAAACAAAAAUGUGUAAAAUUACUAAAUCUGGAAACAGAAGCAAGAGAGCAGGUUUAAGGAAACAGAAGAAAACGCAGCUGUUGCUCGGGUACCAGCUGAAGAAAGGAUAAAAGCAAACCAGAUCUCAGCAUCCCUCCCUGAUACAUCUGAUCAGCAUGAAAUACGUCCAGGGAAACACUGAAGUUACUCUCAGUUGUUACACAGAUAAUUGAAGCUCUGGGCAAACCCUAGAUAUUCAUGUAGAGGAAGAAAUUUAAUAUGCAAAACUACUGAAACAGCAUCACAACUUCAAAAGUCUAAUAAUAGCUCUAAGGUUUUUUCAAGGCUCCUAUUAAAAUAAGCUGCUUUAAAAAUACAUACAAAACCAGGAGAAAAAUACCUCCCAAGUUUUUCUGUAUAAAACAGGCAAACUCACAUCUGCUUUACUAUUUGGCUGUUAAUUACCCAAACUAAGAGCAUAUUACCGUGGUGGAACUGGCAGGAAACAAACAAAAAAAUCAACAAGAAAUCACCAUGGCACAGCUGGUAGUCCUGUGGCUCAUGAACUGUGAGAGCUCCCAUGAAAAAACUGAUAACUUAAAACCAGCAACAAAAAAAUUCUGUCAUCAACAUGAUAAAAGGAAUUAUUAUA